rnacentral:tRNA from 1 species
GGGAUAGCUCAGUUGGUAGAGCAAUAGAAUGAAAAUUGUACUCUGUUUAAGGUUCUACAGUAAUAUGUUAGUGUGAAACAGAGUUAAUUCAAUAAUCGGGAAAAUCUAUAGGUCAUUGGUUCAAGUCCAAUUCCCCCCA